AGACACUAGGUGGAAGCCUUGGGCUGUGGUUCCACCGCAGCUGCUGACGGCAGGGAGAACAGAGGACUUGUGCUUUCAGAAAGGAGAUCUUUUUCUUUUCUUUUCUUCUUGCUUUCACAUGCUAGAAGGGGAAGUCCAUGCUCUCCAGGUGCGCAAAGGGGUGAGCGGAAGAAUGGAGAAGUGUCAGUCCCAUCCCGGGUCCUCCCUGCAACAGGAUCUUUGCAGUGACUUCAAGAUCUCCAUGGCUGUUCUGCAGACAGAUGCACAAUUGUGAAACAUCAAUAUGGACUGCAAAUCUCUACUGCCAGUCAGCUCCUCUUACCCUCUGCAUAACGUAAUCCCUGUCUUCACAAUGCCUGCACAGUUACACAUUUGCAAAGAUGUUUUUCUGGAGAUAGUGUGCAUAGGAAACACUCCCUUACUUGUUCUCAUCUCCAGCAACAUUAUAUGGAGUUUCAGUUCACAGUUCACUGUGUUCCCCCUCCUACCACUGAAAUGCAGCCAACUCCGAGCUGUGGCUAUUAAACAUCACACAAGCAACACCAUGAAACAGAUUGUGGAAAGCAAAGGAAUUCAGAGAAAAGCAACAAAUUGAGUGAGGCCUGCAAGGGUUUUCUGGGAAGUGAUUACAAAAGAUCAUAGGGAAUGAGUAGUGGUUAAUUGUGAUGAAGAAUAGCCAUCACAUUGAUUUUCAGGUCAUACCAGCACACAAGGUCGAGUUUUUGAGGGUGGCACAAAGAGAUGUCACUAAGAACAGUCAAGUUACAGCCAGGGAGACGAGCAUGUCAUCUUCCCUAACCACUGAGUUUCUCAGACUGUCAGAGUCCCAAGGAAAGGGCUGCAGGCAUCAUUGCCUGAGGGUUUUAAAACUGGUCAAGGUUUCAAGAAAGGACAAAACACUAUCAGGACAAAUGAAUAAAACAAGAUGGAGCAA